AAUUAAAAGAGAGAGAAGAAGAACCAGAUUCAGAAACAACACUGCGGGACAAAUACCACAUUCAGACCAUAAUCUUUAUGUUCUUAGGCCUUAGCAACGAACAACAGUGGGCUUGUAGUCAAAUAUAAUGACCUUGUCCUAAUGGGAGAGAAACAAGUUUGCAAACUUAACAUGAGCAGGAUGAGCGCAGUAUUCUGCAAUCCCUUCGGCAGUCUCAAAUGUGGACUCAAAUACGUGUGUAAAACCUUGAUUCA